GAAGUCUUAAUGGAACUAUCAGGAAAUGGAAGCCUAGUCUGUCUGGCCAUAGGACAGACUGAACAGGGAAAGGGUUGUUUGGAAGCAAAUGGAAAAGGCAGACCAGAAAUGCAUUUCAUAUUUGCAAAAGGAGUCUGUGCAAGUCUUAAGUGCCAGAUGUAAUUCAUAUCAGAUGUAAAAUCAUUAUUACAGAUGGAACUAUUAACAUGUGAAGGCAAUGGAACAGCCUUGUUAUCAGACAAGAUGUCAUCAUUACAAGAAACAGACACAGAGGGCAAUGCAACAACUUUGCUAUCAUUGCAAGAAGCAUAUACAGGACAAACAGAAGUAGAGGAACAACUAAUAGAGGAAGAAGGGGAAGAAGGGACCCAAGCCAGUUUAUAUAAGCCAGCAGCUUCUCUACCAAGAUCCAGAGGCCUCCUCAGAGAAGGGUCCUGUAUCAUGUGUAGUAAGAAGGAAUGUUCAGUGAACAUAACUAUACAAUGCAAUUGCUUCACUAACUUGUGAACAGAAAUCAAGUUGUGUUUAAAGAAAGAACUAGCAGUACAUUGUGAAGAGUGAUGAAGGAGUCAAUGCAAAAGAGCAUGUGCAUGUCACUUUCACUUUAUAACCAUUAGGAAGAGUGACAAGAUAUGGCAGAGUUAAAGGUGUGAUGUUAAAAAGUAAUUGUUUAUCAUGUGUCAUGGUAUCAUGUGUAGUAAGCAGGAAUAUUCAGUGAACAUAACUAUACAAUGCAGCUGCUUCACUAACUUGUGAACAGAAAUCAAGUUGUUUUUAAAAGAAGGAACUAGCAGUACAUUGUGAAGAGUGAUGGAAGGAGUCAAUGCAAAAGAGCCUGUGCAUGUUACCUUCACUUUAUAGCCAUUAGGAAGAGUGACAAGAUAUGGCAGAGUUAAAGGUAUGAUGUUAAAAAGCAAUUGUUUAUCAUGUGUUGAUUAGAGGCACCUGAAUCUAUAAUCCAGGUGACAGAAUUAAUAUGAGGAAGUAAGCAAAG
rnacentral:lncRNA from 1 species